UGGCCGCGCGAAGAAAACGCGACAGGCACACGGUGUGCCUCGAGUCGAGUUUUCGAAAGUCGCUCCUUCUCUCGUGUGAACGUACUAUUUCAUUUCAUCAGUGCUCGCAACAGUUACAAUGGCACAUUGACGAUAACAGAAGUGAUAGUGAUAUAAUUGGUUCGAACAAUGUCGGACAAUGUCAAACAGAUAAAAAUGCUUUUACAUAUCG